AGCAGUUGCUGAAGGAAAUCCGGUGAACGUUGUACCGAUCGGCUCCACUCGACCAAAGUGAGCAGUGAAGAUGGAUCUAAUGAAGCAGCACCCAGAGCCCAAAAACGGAACUGUAUGCAAACUUCCCGACCCGCAGCAGCGGCUAAAUCAACAAGAUGAAUUCUAUCCAUCCGACAACAUAUUAGGAGGAACCGAUGUAGCGGUGCAACGUCGGACAGUAUUGGCCGCUGUUCGAUAAUUUUUUACGAGUUCCGCUCGGUGUCGGAUGGUGGUCCUCUGGCCUGAGGUAUAGAUUAAUAAAGACCCGUCAGAGAUUUUAUAAAUAUGAAAUUAACUCGAGUCACAGUAUA